rnacentral:rRNA from 1 species
GACGAACGCUGGCGGCGUGCUUAACACAUGCAAGUCGAACGGAAAGGCCCUGCUUUUGUGGGGUGCUCGAGUGGCGAACGGGUGAGUAACACGUGAGUAACCUGCCCUUGACUUUGGGAUAACUUCAGGAAACUGGGGCUAAUACCGGAUAGGAGCUCCUGCUGCAUGGUGGGGGUUGGAAAGUUUCGGCGGGUGGGGAUGGACUCGCGGCUUAUCAGCUUGUUGGUGGGGUAGUGGCUUACCAAGGCUUUGACGGGUAGCCGGCCUGAGAGGGUGACCGGCCACAUUGGGACUGAGAUACUGCCCAGACUCCUACGGGAGGCAGCAGUGGGGAAUAUUGCACAAUGGGCGGAAGCCUGAUGCAGCAACGCCGCGUGCGGGAUGACGGCCUUCGGGUUGUAAACCGCUUUCGCCUGUGACGAAGCGUGAGUGACGGUAAUGGGUAAAGAAGCACCGGCUAACUACGUG